rnacentral:rRNA from 1 species
UACGUAGGGUGCGAGCGUUAAUCGGAAUUACUGGGCGUAAAGUGUGCGCAGGCGGCAGAGCAAGUCGAGUGUGAAAGCCCCGGGCUUAACUUGGGAAUUGCGCUCGAAACUACUUUGCUGGAGUGUGGCAGAGGAAGGUGGAAUUCCACGUGUAGCGGUGAAAUGCGUAGAGAUGUGGAGGAACACCAAUGGCGAAGGCAGCCUUCUGGGCCAACACUGACGCUCAUGCACGAAAGCGUGGGGAGAAAACAGG